rnacentral:ribozyme from 15 species
UUUUCUUGAAAGGACCGAAACCUUCGAGAGACACAUAGUUGAAUUUAAUUUUUGAUUUCGGGCUUUUAUCCGUUAUCUCUUUCAUCAUUUCCAUUUCAUUGAUUAU